rnacentral:lncRNA from 1 species
UACAUUUAUUUUUACAGAGGAUCGGCGGAAUUUUGACAAGUAUACAUAAAUAUACAUACUAUAUAAAUAUACGCUGAUAUGGAUAUCACAUUCAUGCAUGUGUCUGUGUGUGUAUAUGAAAAGUGAAAACAUAUCAGCUUGGAUAUUCAAAACCGUGUGGUGCUGAUAAAUGCAUGAUAUAUAGGUAAAGGAGGUGGCACCGAAAGAAGACAAGGAGAUGAAAAAAGCUAAUAUUUCGAUUUUUUUUUUUUUUUUUUUGUCAUCUGAACUUUCAUUCACCAAGUAUCAUAAUUUUACAACCAUCACAAUUUUACAAACCCAACUAUAAGAACACUGGUCAAAGAAACUAACAUACACAAAUAAUUUACCCCAACCAACCCUAGAUCAAACCAAAAAAUUCCCCUAGUUAAACCACCCAAUGUCAAGGAGAGGCCAAGCGUUUCUCAUUCUCAAAGAUAUUCUUCAGCCAAAAGGGAUAACCUGCAGCAACAUAGGAUUGAAACCUUCCACCUAUAAUCACACUUUGAGCAAUUAGAAAAGCACCUCUGUUCCUUCUUUUAUCUUCCUUUAAAAACCUCCACCAUUCAAUUUUUCUGAAUCUGAUUGAGAAGUCAGAACUCAUAGCUUUGAAAGAUGGCCAAGCCAUAGGUCUUGUGAUCGCUCCAACAAUCAUUUCAUCAUCAAAAGCAAAGAUCACCCUAUUCAUCUUAUGGCUCAUCAUACUAUCAAUCGCCCAUAAACACACAUGAACCUUCAGUUCAUUUAAGUUACUGAGACCAGUAAAAGCUCUCCUACUAUGCAAUAGCACCUUGCCUUCCGAAUCUCUUAAAACCCACGCAGCUCCCCCCCAUGCAAUGUCUUUU